rnacentral:rRNA from 1 species
GUUAAUAGCAUGGAACGAACAAUUGUGUUAUACGUGUCUACGCUUGCAGUUGGAUGGAUUUAUUUUGUCCAGUUGUAGGUGUGGUUCACAUCACCAACCGCCAAUAACGGAUGUUGGUUUCCGUAUUGGGGUGAUGAUUAAAAGGAGCGAUUGGGGGCAUUGGUAUUUGGCCGCGAGAGGUGAAAUUCUUGGACCGGCCAAGGACUAACAAAUGCGAAGGCAAUUGCCAAGAUCGUUUCCAUUAAUCAAGAACGACAGUCCGAGGUUCGAAGUCGAUCAGAUACCGACUUAGUUCGGACCGUAAACUAUGCCGACCCGAGAUCAGUUUUGAGCUAAUUAAACGCUCGAGGUUGCUCUCCCUGGGAAACCUCAAGUUUUUAGGUUACGGGGGGAGUAUGGUUGCAAAGCUGAAACUUAAAGGAAUUGACGGAAGGGCACCACCAGGGGUGGAGCCUGCGGCUUAAUUUGACUCAACACGGGAAAACUCACCUGGUCCGGACAUCGAAAGGAUAGACAGACUGAUAGAUCUUUCUUGAUACGUUGGUUGGUGGUGCAUGGCCGUUCUUAGUUCGUGGAGUGAUCUGUCAGGUUGAUUCCGGUAACGGACGAGACCAUAUUCUCCAUUUGAGGAAUGCAAAAACUCAGCCAGGGUGUGUUGGUUCGCUAACAUAUUCUGUCUGUAGCUGGUAGAUACUGAAUAUCCGGGUUUUGUCGUUGAUUGUGAGGUUGGGGGCAACUUUGACCGCGCAGUUGGCGGUCGAAUUCGGGGAUGCUGUACUCCUUUGCAAUAAACGGUGGCAGGAAACUGUUCACUGUCUUAUGGAGAGACAACGGUGAAUACGUCAAAGACCGAGGACGUGUGGCGAUAACAGGUCUGUGAUGCCCUAAGAUGUUCAGGGCCGCACGCGCGCUACAAUGAUAACGUCAGCGAGUAUCUGGGUUGUCAAACUUGGGUAAUCUUGUCAAUCGUUAUCGUGAUGGGGAUUGAUCGUUGUAAUUGUCGAUCAUGAAAGAGGAAUCCCUAGUAUGUGCACUUCAUUAGAGUGUACAGAUUAAGUCCCUGCCCUUUGUACACACCGCCCGUCGCUACUACCGAGUGAAUGGUGUCAUGAUGCUUUGGGACUGGACGUCGUUCGCUUUUAACGAGGCGAAAUGAUGCUGGGAUCAAUUAAAAUGGCGCAAUUUUCGAGGAAGUAAAAGU